UAUGUAGUAACGGUUGCUGUU
rnacentral:piRNA from 1 species